rnacentral:lncRNA from 1 species
GAGCCUUGAAUACAGCCCAGAUUGUGAGUGCAGACCUGCCUAAACUAAUUUACAGCUACCAUUGACUCCAGAUCCAUGCCUUUCAGCUAACAAGGGCCUUAGCUCACAGUGCUUGGAAGAGCUACACUGCUUUUUUUAACAGCAAUUAUAAGAGUGCUAACAAGAAUCUAAGGAUUUGGAGCAUCAAGGAAGGUACUUCUUUUACUCUGGAAUCAUUGUAUCUGAUUUUCCUCACUGAAUUCUGAUCUAAUGCCAUGAAUGC